UCUUAUCUACGGAGCGCACCCCCUUCCUGUAGAAGAUCAGCCCUGCCCUAGGAUGUAGCGGUGAGAUGGUACACGUUAGAACCCAAGGUUUGGGGAAGGUUUCACAACCGCUGCGGUUUUAAACUUGACUUUUACCCUGAGUGGACUAUAAAAACCCACAACAAACUCAUUACUUCAUUA